CCUACGGGUGGCAGCAGUAGGGAAUAUUGCUCAAUGGGGGAAACCCUGAAGCAGCAACGCCGCGUGGAGGAUGAAGGUUUUAGGAUCGUAAACCUCUGUCAGCAGGGAAGAACGGUCACUGUGCUAAUCAGCAGUGAAUUGACGGUACCUGCAAAGGAAGCACCGGCUAACUCCGUGCCAGCAGCCGCGGUAAUACGGAGGGUGCGAGCGUUAAUCGGAAUUACUGGGCGUAAAGCGCUCGUAGGCGGUAUGUCAAGUCAAGGGUGAAAUCCCCGCGCUCAACGUGGGAACUGCCUUUGAAACUGGCAAACUGGAGUGUGUGAGAGGAUAGUGGAAUUCCAGGUGUAGGAGUGAAAUCCGUAGAUAUCUGGAGGAACAUCAGUGGCGAAGGCGACUAUCUGGCACAUAACUGACGCUGAGGAGCGAAAGCGUGGGUAGCAAACAGGAUUAGAUACCCGUGUAGUC
rnacentral:rRNA from 1 species